UACGAAGGGGGCGAGCGUUGUUCGGAUUUACUGGGCGUAAAGGGCGCGCAGGCGGCUAUCCAAGUCAGGCGUGAAAGCCCCGGGCUUAACCUGGGAGGUGCGUCUGGGACUGGGUGGCUAGAGAUCGGGAGAGGAGAGUGGAAUUCCCAGUGUAGCGGUGAAAUGCGCAGAUAUCGGGAAGAACACCCGUGGCGAAGGCGGCUCUCUGGGACGGUACUGACGCUGAGACGCGAAAGCGUGGGGAGCGAACAGG
rnacentral:rRNA from 1 species